rnacentral:lncRNA from 10 species
GUAGUCUGCCUUCCAGCUCUGGGUGAGCACUGCUGCUAUUUCAGAGUUCCUGGGAGCAAGAAUGGGAUUUAAGGGUGGCUGGAAGGAUGAAAUGCAGUGAUGGAUCUGGAGUGCCUAGCAGAUGCGUGGCACGUGGGUGCUUUGCAGUCUACAGAUCCCACAGGAUCAGUUCAUUCCAGAGCGGCCCCCAGCCAGCUGCUGAGUGUCUCGGGAGUCUGGUGCAAGCUCUCAGCAAAAACUGGCUUCGGCAUGAGGAUAUGUAAAGGCACCUUGUAAUCUGCAAAGCACAGUGUGCCCAUUGGUUGUUUUUGUGCCUCAUUAUGCUAUAGCCCAGCGGGUACCUGGGAGGCUGGCCAGGUCCCUCUCUAAUUGCAGGAUGCUGGCAAGUGAGCCCAGGCAGGCACCUGUGCCAGUCCCUGAACGGCACUGGGUUCCAGGCAGAGAGAGCUUGCCCUCCCUGACUCUCCUACCAAUGCUCCAGCUCUAGCUUCCAUCUGACUGCAAAGCAACCUGGUCUCACACCAGCCACUUCUGCUGCUCAAUGCCAUCUCCUUCCGGCUGUUCCUGCUGCUUCAAAGAGUGGGGAGUAGAGAGAAGAGAAGCGAGGUGCGAACAAUAGCCAACUUGCCUAAAACUCUGAUGCUGGAGUUAAUAAAAAGAAAUGAACCCAUUCAGGCUAGCACCCAAAUUACAGUCUCAGUUUCACUGUAGUGAUAGAAGGCGG